UUUGAGAUUCUUUGCCUGUGUUCCAGUGCUCCCCUUUUGCCUGGAUUCUAUCUAUACUCUUGUUUACACUGUCACUGUCCACGGUGCAGUGUAGGAUCUGAGCGCUGAAGAAGCUGAGAAUACUCCAGGAGCCUGGCAUUAGAGAAGCCACAAGCACUGCCAAGAGGCAGGCUGCACAACUCCGGGUGCUUCUGGGUUCCAUGCACGAGGGCUGCAGACGCUUAGUGCUACAUAAAGCCACCCAUUCGGUUGUAGAAGCCUGCCAAAUGACUACUUUUAUACUUUUUACACUAUUGAGGAGCAGCAGCUAUUUAGGCACGACUUCUAAGCAAAGUUGCAGACAAGUUCUGGAGUCCAGAACUUACUGAGUCAGCAUUGCCAGAUGUGAUGUGAAAUAUUCAGCUACUGCUUCAGUGCUUCUUAGCCAGUGACUCCACAUGGCAAGGAGCUGUUUGCUGGAGGCUGCUGGUCUACAGCUCCUGGGGGAACGGAGACCCUCAGUCCAGUGGCACGCAAUGCACUGAAUCCUGCCAAUGACCGUCUGGGAGAGCUUAGAACUUGGUCCAGACCCAGUUGAACCUUAGAAGGACCACAGUCCCAGGGGUCAUCUUGAUGGCAGCCCCGGAAAAGAUAUAGAGCUGGAAGAUCUGCCAAGCAAUGCCUGCCUAUAACUGUGAGCUAAAUUUUGUUUUAAAUCACCAAGAUUUGGUGGUGGCAUGGCAGGUUGCUUAACCUGCUGUGCCAGUCCCUAAACAACACCAGCCUCUAGGCACUUUUAUACUGCUAUUCUAUUCUACUUAAAAAUAAAUGCUGGGUACAAUCUACUGAAUUGUUUUUAUGACUCACUAAUGGGCCAGCGGCAACUGUAGAAAAUGCUCCUAUUUUUUUUUUUUUUUUUUUUGGUGGAGGCACUUGGAAUUGUAGAAGAUGCAUUUAAGGAACUCUGUGUGCCUUUGCACUUUGACGAAUGACAAGCUCUCUGUGUUCGAGGAUAGUUUCUUCUACUAGUAUUAAUUUAAUUAUAAAGGUAAGUUUCUUAUCUUUUGUUCCCAGUGCCAGGCCUUAGUCCUUCCACUUUAAGGUCUAGGAGAGUUUCUUGAAAAACUUUCUGAAUCAUUGUUUUCUAUUAGAUACUAAUAGUUUUUUUUUUUUUUAAAGAUUUGUUUAUUUAUUUGAAAGGCAGAGUUACAAAGAGGCAGAGGCAGAGACAGAGACAGAGAGGUCUUCCAUCCAUUGGUUUACUCCCCAGAUGGCUCCAACGGCCGGAGCUGUGCCGAUCUGAAACCAGGAGACAGGAGCUUCUUCCAGGUCUCCCACACGAGUGCAGGGGCCCAAGGACUUGGGCCAUCUUUCACUGCAUUCCCAGGACUCAGCAGAGCUGGAUUGGAAGUAGAGCAGCCGGGACUCCGACCUGCGCCCAUAUGGGAUGCUGGCACUGCAAGUGGCAGCCUUACCCGCUAAGCCACAGUGCCAGCCCCAAUAGAUUUUUCAUUACUGCUAAUGCAAUUUAAAAUUUUGUGAUUGGGGACAGUGUUGUGGUGCAAUGGGUUAAGCCUCUGCCUUGGAUGUUGGCAUCCCAUAUGGUUACUGGUUCGAGAACUGGCUGCCUCACUCCUGAUCCAGUUCCCUGCUAAUGCACCUGGGAAAGCAAUGGAAAAUGGCUCAAGUCCUUGAGCCCCUGCACCCAUGUGGGAGACCUGAAAGAAGCUCCUGGCUCCUGGCUUUGACCUGGUCUAGUUCCAGACAUUAUGGCCAUUUGGGGAGUGAACCAGUAGAUGGAAGAUCUCUCUCUCUCUCUCUUUCUCUGUAACUCUGCCUUUCAAAUAAGUAAAAUAAAUCUUAAAAAAAAAAAAAUUCUGGCUGCUUUUGAAUCUGUUCAAAACUGUUUAUGCUAUUAGAGUAUACCCAUACACAUUUGCAAAACAGGUAUUUAAUGAGGGGCAUUUAUCCAGAAUGUAUAAAUUAAUUGAUAUAUAGAGAUACUUCAGAAAUAUGGGCAAAAAUUUUGAAUAGACAUUUAACAAAAAAAGAAAUACAUUGGCAAAUAAUACACAAAAAAUUGUUCUACACCAUUAGUCAGAGAAAUUCAAAUGAGAACCACACUGAGGUACCACUACAUACCGACGGGAAUGGCAGACUGACAAUACUAAGUACUGACAAAGCUGUGAGCAAUUGAACUGUCCUAAGUUGCUGGUGGAAAGCAAUAUGGGAGUUUCUUGUAAAGUUCAGCACACACUAUAUGACUCAGCAAUAUUGCUCCUAAGCAUUAAAUCAAAAGAAAUAAAUGCACAAUACCAAGAAGACAUGUACAUAAAUAUUUAUAAUAGUUUUAUUCAUAAUAGUCCCAAACUGGAAGUAAUUCAAAUUUCCAUCAGUGGGUGAGUGGGUAAACAAAUCAUAGCAAUUCAUUCAACACAAUAGAACAAACUUCUUGUACAUGCAACCACUUGAAUGAAUAUGAGAAGGGAUUUGUAAGUAAAAGAAGCCAAAUACAAAAGGGUAUAUGAGCGUAUUGUGGAAAAAGCAAAACUAAAGUGAUAGUAAAAGGUCAGUGAUUUCUAGGGGUCUGGAUCUGGGGAGAGGAGACUGCAGUUGGGAUAAAGGGAGCAGUUUGGGGUGAUGUGUUCUUGAUUGUGGUGGUGCUUACAUAACUGUAUAUGCUUGUUAUGGAGACUGUACACUAAAAUGGGUGAAUUUUACUCUAAGUGAGUUGUGUGCCUCAGUAAAUCUGACUUUAAAAACAGAUCAGGGGCUGACGCUGUGGCACAGUAGGUUAAUCUGCCUGCAGUGCUGGUAUCCCAUGUGGGAGCCGGUUCUAGUCUCAGAAGCUCCUCUUCCAAUCCAGCUCUCUGCUACGGCUGGGAAAGCAGCAGAAGAUGGCUCAAGUACUUGGGCCCCUGCACCUGUGUGGGAGACCUGGAAGCAGCUCCUGGUUCCUGGCUUUGGAUUGGCACAGCUCUGGCCAUUGUGGCCAUCUGGGGAGUGAACCAGCAGAUAGAAGACCUUUCUCUCUGUCGCUCCCUCUCACUGUCUGAAACUCUACGUUUCAAAUAAAUAAAUAAAAUCUUUUAAAAAAAGGAUCAAGAUAAUUCCGCAGUUGUUUUUCCAUCCGUUAAACUAUUUUCUGGGGCCAGUGCUAUGACACAGAGGGUUAAAGCCCCAGCCUGUAGUGCAGGCAUUCCAUAUGGGUGCCGGUUUGAUUCCCAACUACUCCACUUCCAGUCCAGCUCCUUGCUAAUGUGCCUGGGAAAACAGAGGAGGAUGACCGAAGUCCUUGGGUCGCUGCACCCAUGUGGGAGACCCAGAAGAAACUCCUGGCUCCCUGCUUCAGAUCAGCUCAGCUCCAACCAUUAUGGCCAUUUGGGGAGUGAACCAUUGGUUGGAAGACCUCCCUCCCUCCCUUCUCUCUCUCUCUCUGUCUCUCUCUCUCUCUCUUCACCUCUACCUCUCUCUGUAACCUUUUCAAAUAAUAAAAUAAAUCUUUAAAAAAGAUAAAAUGUUUUCUGGCCUUGGAAUGUACUCAUCUAAUAGAAACAAAUAUCUUUUUCAAACUUAUAGAGAUUAAGACAGAAUUUUUUGGUUUCUCGGAGUGAGCUUACUCCUUGGAUAUUUUUUAUGGUCCUUCAGAAUAAUCCCUUUCCUUUGAACUUUUCUUCCUUUUAUUCAUUGCCUUUUUUCUACUCAUAUUUAAUGAGGCGGUGAUUAGAAUUUGCCCUUUUAAAAAAGUUCUUACUGAAUCUUUUAAUCCCUAAUGAAGGAGAAAGAGGAAUUUUCCAUUUUCUGUAGUUUUCUGUGCUGCAUUGAGUGUUCAGUUGACUCUGCAGAAGAGAUUUCUGGGAAGUAGCUCUUGACUAAGCAAUUACUUCUUAGCCACAAUUUACAGCUGUUUUGCCAUAUGGAGUCCAGGGUUGGUGAACUCAAUUGUUACCAUAUUCUGUGCAUGAGCAUAGUGGGUGGCAAGUUCAUAACCGGGCCCUAAGACAAUACUCACAAGCUCACCAGCCUCUAGAGGCAAAAGAUAACCUACAUGUGCAAACUCGUCUACACAGGCUGCAGAAAUCUGGAAAUUGCAUAUCAUGUCUGAAUGAAGCAACUGAUGCUCAGCUCCAGUCCAUUGUUGCCAUGUGGGAAUGUGUGCUCAGCUGUUGCCAGAGAGCGCUUCUGAGUCAAGAGAAACCAGAAAUCCAGAUUCCUUAAAUGUAGAAAUCUCCUAAUAUUUUAAACAUUUGCAACUAAGUUGAGCUUUUAAAAAUAUUUUGUGUACCAACAACGUAUGGUCCUAACAAAAUCAAUCUGUGCUUACAAAGUAUGAGACUCGUGUCCUAAGAGUUGCUCCAGAGGGGCUCAGAUAUUCAGAAGGGAAGGAAGUGUAUAAAGCUCUAGUAACCCAUAAUCUAGAUUAAUUUUAUGAAAUGUUCAUUGGCUGCAUCAACCAUUAAAAUGGUGAUAUUGGGGCAAACACAGAUGUCUUUUAAAAUCCUUGUGGUCAUUGUAGGUGUGUCCUAUAUAUCUAUUUUGUCAUUCUCUCUCUCUCUCUUUUUUUUUUGGACAGGCAGAGUGGCAGAGUUAGACAGACAGAGAGAGAGAGAGAGAGAGAGAGAAGAGAGAAAGGUCUUCCUUUUAUUGGUUCACCCCCCAAAUGGCCGCCACGGCCAUUUGUGCUGAUCCGAAGCCAGGAGCCAGGUGCUUCCUCCUGGUCUCCCCUGCUGGUGCAGGGCCCAAACACCUGGGCCAUCCUCCACUGCCUUCCUGGGCCACAGCAGAGAGCUGGACUGGAAGAGGGGCAACCAGGACAGAAUCCGGUGCCCCAACCGGGACUAGAACCUGGGGUGCCAGCACUGCAGGUGGAGGAUUAGCCAAGUGAGCCGUGGAGCCAGCCAUCUCUCUCUUUUUUAUUUAUUUAUUUAUUUUGUGACAGGCAGAGUUAGUGAGAGAGAGAGACAGAGACAGAGAGAAAGGUCUUUUUUCUUUCUUUCUUUUUUUGACAGGCAGAGUGGACAGUGAGAGAGAGAGACAGAGAGAAAGGUCUUCCUUUGCCGUUGGUUCGCCCUCCAAUGGCUGCUGCGGCUGGUGCGCUGCGGCCGGCGCACCGCGCUGAUCCGAUGGCAGGAGCCAGGUGCUUCUCCUGGUCUCCCAUAGGGUGCAGGGCCCAAGGACUUGGGCCAUCCUCCACUGCACUCCCUGGCCACAGCAGAGAGCUGGCCUGGAAGAGGGGCAACUGGGACAGAAUCCGGCGUCCCGACCGGGACUAGAACCCGGUGUGCCGGCGCCGCAAGGCGGAGGAUUAGCCUAGUGAGCCACGGUGCCGGCCUUCUCUCUCUUUUUUAAAAAAUUUAUUUAUUUAUUUGAAAGUCAGAGUUACACAGAGAGAGAAGGAGAGGUAGAGAGAGAGAGGUCUUCCAUCCACUGGUUCACUCCCCAGUUGUCCACGACUGCCGGAGCUGUGCAGAUCCGAAGCCAGGAACCAGGAAAUUCUUCCAGAUUUCCCAUGCAGGUGUGGGGGCCCAAGGACUUGGCCAUCUUCUACUGUUUCCCAGGCCAGAGCAUAGAGCUGGAUGGGAAGAGGAGCAGCCAGGACGCGGACUGGCGCCCAUAUGGGAUGCCGACACUGCAGGAGGCGGCUUUACCUGCUAUGCCACAGCGCCGGCCCCUGUCAUUCUCUAAUGUGUAAUUACCAUGUGGUUUGGGUGGAACUAAUUGCACUUCUACCUGCAGUGUAAUAUUCCCUUUGCCUACUUCAGUAGACAGUAAUCCAGGCCUAAGCCAAUCAGCAAACAGCUUUUCCUAGACAUACAGAUUCGAGUACAAUACCUUUUUUGGGUAUUGUACUAGAAUCAAACUAACUAAGCUAUUUAUUUUCAGAUGAAGAAAUGAGGUUCCCAAAGAAAUGAUGUGGUUUGGUUAUGGUAGGUGGCUGUCUCAUUCUGCCUCUUUUAUUUCAAUUCAUUAUGUUACCUUUACAAAUAAACAAGUUUCUGAGAAGCAUUUUGCCUUGAUCAUCUUCUUGCAACUAUUAUUAUUUACAUACUUUUGUAACUCAGCCUGAUUCCUGCCCUGUUACCAUAUAAUAUUCCUUUACGACUCCCUCCUCUGAGCUCAACUGAAUAUUAUUAAUAUUGCUCAUUUUAUAACUGUGCCAAUCAAGAUGUUUAAUUACUACAGGCAGAAAAAAUCUAAUUUUACAUAAUCAAAAACCUUUUUAUAGUUUUUCCCUCAGGAGUCCAUUGGUUAUUACUUUUUUGAAAUCAGAAGUCCAUCGGUGGCAUUGACGUCAAGCACUAUGAGAUGGAGGUCUCAUGACAUCAUCAACUCUCUUAAUCGGCCUAUUUCUGUUUGGUGUAAUAGCCUCCUUCUCUGUGGAGCAAAGAAUUUCUUCUGUGCAGAUGGAGCAAUGAAUGUCAGCAGCACCAGGUUUCAUAAUAGUUAUUUAGUAAUCACACGACUAAUUCUCUGAAAAUCUACAUGUUUGUCUCAGAGAGAGACUCAGAUUGUCUCUUGUUACCUGUUUCUGAUUUUUGGACCAGUUUCUAUGUCUGGAAGAAUAUGGUGCUAAUGUAAGUCCUGAUUAGGUCUUGUUUCCAACUAUUAAGGAAAAAAACGAGUUAUGUUGAUGAGUUACCAUGAUGGAGGGCCCUCAAUUGAACCAUGUGGAGUUGGGGAGAUGUAUCCCAAAACAAAGGAAUGAGAAAUAGUUGCUGUUAAAAGAAAAAGGAUAACGGGAAAGAGUAUUGGAUACUUGCACCUAAUAUUUAUCAGAUUCUGCUAAAGCAGUCAUCAUUAUUGCACCCUAGUAUGAUUGUGUUUGGAGAACAGAAUAGGAUUCUGCUGAACUUCUGUGCAUCAGGAAAUAGACCUGAUUAGGGUUCAGGGGAAUGCUUCCAGGACUGGCAAAACUAGUUAUUUAUGUGAGGAAACAGACUGCUCUAGAAAGAGAAAUAAAACAGAGACAAAGGGAGGAAUGAGAAGAGAAAGGGAACUGAGGAACAGACAUGGGGAUACUCUGAUGAGGUUUACAUGAAGCCAAAAUUGCUGUUCUUUGGUCAUACCAUGACAGCAGUUACUUGCCCUACAAAUGGAUUUUUAAGUUAGGGUAAAACUGACAAAUAAUGCUUCAUUUUAGUUGAUGCCAGUCUUAGAGAAAGUUUAAGUUAGUAUAAACUUGCUGAAGUUUACAAUAUGGAUACCUUUUGACUUGGCUAUUCCCCUUCUCAGAAUUUAAUCUAUGGAAAUGUUUAUGUGUGGAUUUUGCCAUAAGCUGUUAAAUGCUAUUUUAAGUGGUAAAAAUGAAAUGUAAAUAACCUAAAUGUCUCACAGUAUAAGAUUGUGUGAGCAAUAAGUAAUUGCAAACACAAGCAGAAGAAUACAUUAUAGCCAUUUAAAUUGUAAAAGAUUAUUUAAGGAAAUAGAAAUCUGCCCAUAAUAUAUGGUUGCAUGGAAAAAAUGACUUUCAAGGUUGCUUAAUAUUCUUUUGUUAUGCUCUACUACAUACAGGGCAAUUACAUUAUCUGACUUAAUCCUUACAAUUCUAUAUGGCAGGAAUUAUCAUUUUGCCCAUAUUCUCUGAAUUUCAUUUCCUUAUCUCUAAGUGGCAUAUGGUUUUGACCAUAAGCUGAUAAUCAGAUGGGUCUAUUACUAUGACUUUGGACAAAUUAUUCUUUUCAUCAAAACCCCUAUUUUAAAAUAGGCUUCAUAAUGCAAAUAAGUACUUACAUUUAUACCUGGACACACACUGCAAAUGGAAAUAGAAAUUUGCAAACCAGUAAAUAUUUUUGCUAUCUUGGAUGCAUCCUGAUAUGUUCUUUUUAAUUAUCUGCCUUUCUAAUCUCAUACAUUAUUUUACAUUGUAUUUCAUUUUUAAAAAAUGAUAAUUGGAGCCCACUAAAUACAACCCAUUAAUGGUGCAGAUACUUAGUAGAUUCUUAAUAAAUUCUAUCUAUAUUGUUUCUGUUAUUACCAUUAGUGGUAGUACAAUGAGAUUGUGAGAGGAAGCACUUACAGACAAUGCCUUUCAAAAGUAGUAGGGAAAUGGAAGAGUCAAUGUAUCUGAAUCCACAUGCUUCAGGGCAUAAAAUAAUCAUGAAGUACAGGGUACAUUGUCACAAUUAUCAUCGAUGUAACAAAUUUAAGAAGGUAGGUGCGUUCAUACUGACAUAAUAAUCUCAAUUAUUCAUGUUGACAAUAAAGCUGGAACUUUUGUUUAGGGAGGUAAUCAGAACUAAAUGACAUUUGUCAAAAGACUGAAUUGGUUGGCAUUGUGGGAGUUAGAAAAACCAAAAAAGACUCAAGGAGAAAAGAAAUGAAUUCAUUGGCUUAUAUAUGGAAAUAUGCAGUAGUAGGUCUACUGGUUCUGGGUAUUGGAUCUAGAUGAUCAAAAAAGUCCUCAGAAAGGUGAUUUUUGUUAUUGUCUUUUUUUUUAUUUGACAGGUAGAGUUAUAGACAGUGAGAGAGAGACAGAGAGAAAGGUCUUCCUUCCGUUGAUUCACUCCCCUAAUGGCCGCCACGGCCGGUGCUGUGCUGAUCUGAAGCCAGGAGCCAGGUUCUUCCUCCCCAUCUCCCAUGCAGGUGCAGGAACCCAAGCACUUGGGCCAUCCUCUGCUGCCCUCCCAGGCCACAGCAGAGAGCUGGACUGGAAGAGGAGCAAUCGAGACUAGUACCCAGUGCCCCAACCAGGACUAGAACCCGGGGUGCCAGUGCUGCAGGUGGAGGAUUAGCCAAGUGAGCCAUGGCGCCAGCCCAGUUAUUGUCUUUUGAUUAUACAAGAUACAACAAGUUCAUGGAGAAAUGGAGUUAAUAGGUAGUGUGGCUGAAUCGACUGCGUUGACACAACUUGGUCAUGGAGGAACCAGGAGGCCGGCUGGCUGAGAGAUCUGAAGAAAGCAAAAGGAACUCCGCUUGAGAUAUUUUCCACUGAAAAGGAACUUGAAUAAAUGUGUAUUGACAGAUUAAUUUCCUGAGCAUUUUAUCAGUUGCUAACAUGUGCAACAUGGAGAAUCAGAAAUGCAAGGAUCACCCUGUGUUGAAAAAGCUCAUCAGGAUAGUAUAUUUUAAGAGGAGCCACUUGCCUUGAUGGGAAGACAUGAUCUCAAGGACUGGUCUUCAUUUGGAACUGACACAUAGUGAUCAUUGAAUUGAUUCUACCCACCUCUGGGUGAGCCAUACAAGGCAUCAGCCAAUCAGUCUAUUGCCCAUGACUUAAGCUGGGUCAAUCAUCAAGGACCUCAAGACUUCUGCUAAGGCUUCUGAAAUGAGAAUGCUUUCUUUUGUCUCCAAUAGUACUGAAACCAGUUUUGGUAUCAGAAGGGGAACCAUUUUGAGGAACAAGCUGACACAAAGAAGAUGGGCAAGAUUGGAAAUUGGUAGUGAAAUGAAGACAAUACCCUGAGGAUUUAAUAAACCAUGGAAUAUGAUGCCUGCAAACAGCAUUACCUCUGGAUUUUUAACUUGACUGCCAAUGUAUUCUUUAUAUUUUAUGCAGCCAUUUGCUCUGGGUUUUCUGUCAUUUGUGUUUGAAGGCAACUUAUAUGUUAGAUGUUGCUUAGAAAUAAUGAAGAAGCUCAGUUGUUGAAAGAUGAUUUGUGGGGGCCAGCACUGUGGCAUAGUGGGUAAAGCCUCCGCCUGCAGUGCCGGCAUCCAUAUGGGUGCAGGUUCAAGUCCUGGAUGCUCCACUUCCAAUCCAGCUCUCUGUGAUGGCCUGGGAAAGCAGUAAAAGAUGGCCCAAGUCCUUGGGCCUCUGUACCCACGUAGGAGACCUGGAGGAAGCUUCUGGCUUCUGGCUUCAGAAUGGCACAGCUCUCCGACUGUUGCAGCCAAUUGGAGAGUGAACUAAUGAAUAGAAGACCUCUCUCUCUCUCUGCCUCUUCUCUCUCUGUGUAACUCUUUCAAAUAAAUAAAUAAAUCUUUUUAAAAAAGAAUGGAAAUGCACAACACUAUACUAUUUACAUAUGUUAUAAAAUGGAAGACCUCUCUCUCUCUGCCUCCUCUGUGUAAC